rnacentral:rRNA from 1 species
GACGAACGCUGGCGGCGUGCUUAACACAUGCAAGUCGAACGCUGAAGCUCAGCUUUUGUUGGGUGGAUGAGUGGCGAACGGGUGAGUAACACGUGAGUAACCUGCCCCCUUCUUUGGGAUAACGCCCGGAAACGGGUGCUAAUACUGGAUAUUCACUGGUCUUCGCUUGGGGGUUGGGGGAAAGGGUUGCUCUGGUGGGGGAUGGGCUUGCGGCCCAUCAGCUUGUUGGUGGGGUGAUGGCCUACCAAGGCUUUGACGGGUAGCCGGCCUGAGAGGGGGACCGGGCACAUGGGGAGUGAGAUACGGACCGGACUACGACGGGGAGCAGCAGUGGGGAAUAUGGCACGAAGGGUGCAAGCAUGAUGCGGCGACGCCGCGAGAGGGAUGGCGGCCGGCGGGUUGGGAACCGCGUUGGCUAAUGGUUAAGCCGCAACAAUGGUUGUGGUGAGGGUAGUGGGUAAAGAAGCGCCGGCUAACUACGUG